AUGCUCCUGGUGCUCCUCCCAGUGCUGGGGAUACACUUUCUCCUACGAGAAGCCCAAGCUCAGUCAGUGACUCAGCCUGAUGCUCAUGUCACUGUCGCUGAAGAAACCUCUCUGCAGGUGAGAUGCAAGUUUUCCUCCCCUGGGGAACCUUAUCUGUUGUGGUAUGUCCAGUACCCAGGACAAGGGCUGCAGCUGCUCCUCAAGAACUAUCCAGGAGACUCAGUGGUUCAUGGCAUGAAUGGCUUUGAGGCUGAGCUCAACAAGAGUGAGUCUUCCUUCCACCUGCGGAAAGCCUCUGCGGACUGCAGCGACUCGGCUGUGUACUUCUGCGCUCUGAUCGCACAGUGUGUGGGGCUGCACGGGGAGCUGAACAUAAACACCCAUGGCCGUGGUUACUUUGAGUGGAGCAGCAAUGAACAGAAGCAAGAGUCUGUGGAGAAGGAUGUAGAAUUCUUUGGACAUAUGCUGAAGUAG